GGCUGGUCUGAGUGCAGUGGUGUUUACAACUAAUUGAUCACAACUAGUUACAGAUUUGUUCCUUCUCAACUCCCACUGCUUCACUUGACUAGCCUUUA
ensembl:misc_RNA Y_RNA Y RNA